ensembl:lncRNA
GUGAUUGGGUGAAUGGCUGCUCUCAUAAGAUAGACAUCAGUGAUUGGGUGAAUGGCUGCUCUCACUAAGAACAUUAGACAUCAGUGAUUGGGUGAAUGGCUGCUCUCACUAAGAUAGACAUCAGUGAUUGGUGAAUGGCUGCUCUCACUAUGAACAUUAGACAUCAGUGAUUGGGUGAAUGGCUGCUCUCACUAAGAUAGGCAUCAGUGAUUGGGUGAAUGGCUGCUCUCACUAUGAACAUUAAGCAUCAUGAUUGGGUGAAUGGCUGCUCUCACUAAGAACAUUAGACAUCAGUGAUUGGGUGACCCACUGCAAUGCAUGAGGUUUUCGUGGUGUGUUUGUUUUACACAUUUCUACUCCACCACCUAGUUUCACUUUAGUCCUGUAAUGAAUGAUUGGUUCUGUCAUACUAGGAAAGGCUUGUGUUGUUUGGUUAAGCAAGAACUUAGAGAAAUGCACAUUACAAUGAGUCAUUUAAUACUUCAGCUGUUUUUGGUUCCACUUUACUGACAGCAUCCAGGUUAAAACACAUGAUAAGGUGUUAUUAGCAUGAGCCUUUUAUAAUGUCUUAUCAGGCUUCUAAAAAUGCUUAUCCUGUAUUAAUACCAGUGUGUUUUAAACAGACACAAUGACCAGAAAGAGCUGGAAAUCCAGUCACUAUUGGACUUCUUAAAUGUGCCAUGUUAUGAAUGUUGAAACAUUUUGCCUUAAUAACUUUUUGAUUUUUUUCUGCACGUCUUCUUUUCAGUUGGUGGUCGUUUUUAAUAUUUGAAUAUCUUCUCCUUAAUUAAAGGGUUCACUAUGCAAUCCACUUCCUGAUCUGAUCUGUCUUACUAUAUUAACCUUCUGCUGCUUAUUUUACAGACGGGUCAUCUCUUUUUCUCUUCUUGACAAUCAGUGUUUUCUUGAUACACAAAAGGUCUGUGUUUCCAAAUGGUAGUGCACUACUUUGGACCAGGGCCCAGUGGUGGUGGGGGGGAAUAUCACUAUAUAGGGAAUAGAAUGCCAUUUGGGACGCUACAGAGAUCUGAACAGCACAAUGACCUGACGGCAGUACGGAUAGAGAUACAACCUGCCACGUACUCUCUGCUUCGUAGAAGGUUUUACUGAUGGUAAUGAAUCUAUGACUUUUUGAUUAAAAAUAUAAAAAUAUUUAAAAAAUCUGUUUUAUUUUUACCAAUCAGUCAGCAGCUCAUUUUAAAGGGAUUCAUUCAUCUACAGAUCAUUAUGUUCAUGAAAUAAUCUAUGUACAUUAAAUGAUCUAGAUUACACUCUGGGCUCACGAAGUGACUAUAUAAAGGCUCUAAUAGCAGUUUGUGUAAAUACAUUUUAUAAAAUACAUUGUGUGGAUGAAUGAAUGUCAGGAUAAUGAAAAUAAAUAAGCUCACGUCUGGCAUCACGUCUGUGUUGUGCAAUGCAGCUAAAGUUCAUAUAUAAAGUUCAAAUGUAAAGUUCAUAUGUAAAGUUCAUAUGUGUUUUAAUAAACAUACUGGUUUGGUUCAACAUGUA